AAUCCUGGCUCAGGAUGAACGCUAGCUACAGGCUUAACACAUGCAAGUCGAGGGGAAACGAUAUUGGAAGCUUGCUUCCGAUAGGCGUCGACCGGCGCACGGGUGAGUAACGCGUAUCCAACCUGCCCACCACUUGGGGAUAACCUUGCGAAAGUAAGACUAAUACCCAAUGAUAUCUCUAGAAGACAUUCCUGAAAGAGAUUAAAGAUUUAAUCGGUGAUGGAUGGGGAUGCGUCUGAUUAG
rnacentral:rRNA from 1 species